rnacentral:rRNA from 1 species
CCUACGGGUGGCAGCAGUGAGGAAUAUUGGUCAAUGGACGAGAGUCUGAACCAGCCAAGUAGCGUGAAGGAUGACUGCCCUAUGGGUUGUAAACUUCUUUUAUAUGGGAAUAAAACGUUCCAAGUGGGGGAUUUUGUAUGUACCAUAUGAAUAAGGAUCGGCUAACUCCGUGCCAGCAGCCGCGGUAAUACGGAGGCUCCGAGCGUUAUCCGGAUUUAUUGGGUUUAAAGGGAGCGUAGGUGGAUUGUUAAGUCAGUUGUGAAAGUUUGCGGCUCAACCGUAAAAUUGAAGUUGAAACUGGCAGUCUUGAGUACAGUAGAGGUGGGUGGAAUUCGUGGUGUAGCGGUGAAAUGCUUAGAUAUCACGAAGAACUCCGAUUGCGAAGGCAGUUCACUGGACUGCAACUGACACUGAGGCUCGAAAGUGUGGGUAUCAAACAGGAUUAGAUACCCGGGUAGUC